GCACGGAGUUAGCCGGUGCUUAUUCGUAAGGUACCGUCAACAGCACAUGAAUGUCCUGAUUUCUUCCCAAACAAAAGAAGUUUACAACCCAUAGGGCCUUAAUCCUUCACGCGGGAUGGCUGGGUCAGAGUUGCCUCCAUUGCCCAAUAUUCCUUA
rnacentral:rRNA from 1 species